rnacentral:rRNA from 1 species
UACGUAGGCAGCAAGCGUUGUUCGGAAUUACUGGGCGUAAAGAGUGUGUAGGCGGUGCUCUAAGUCUGUUGUGAAAUCUCCCGGCUUAACUGGGAGGGUGCGGCGGAAACUGGAGUGCUCGAGGGUGGGAGAGGUAAGCGGAAUUCCUGGUGUAGCGGUGAAAUGCGUAGAUAUCAGGAGGAACACCGGUGGCGAAGGCGGUUCUCUGGGCCUUACCUGACGCUGAGGAGCGAAAGCGUGGGGAGCAAACAGG